GACGAACGCUGGCGGCGUGCUUAACACAUGCAAGUCGAACGGUGAAGCGCCUUCCUUUUUGGUUGGUGUGGAUGAGUGGCGAACGGGUGAGUAACACGUUAGUAACCUGCCCCCUUCUUCUGGAUAACCGCAUGAAAGUGUGGCUAAUACGGGAUAUUCUGGGUCUGUCGCAUGAUGGGUCUGGGAAAGAUAUUGUUUCGGUGGUGGAUGGGCUCGCGGCCUAUCAGCUUGUUGGUGGGGUGAUGGCCUACCAAGGCGGUGACGGGUAGCCGGCCUGAGAGGGUGGACGGUCACACUGGGACUGAGACACGGCCCAGACUCCUACGGGAGGCAGCAGUGGGGAAUAUUGCACAAUGGGAGCAAGCCUGAUGCAGCGACGCCGCGUGAGGGAUGGAGGCCUUCGGGUUGUGAACCUCUUUCGCCAGUGAAGCAGGCCUGCCUCGUUUGUGGGUGGGUUGACGGUAGCUGGAUAAGAAGCGCCGGCUAACUACGUG
rnacentral:rRNA from 1 species